rnacentral:rRNA from 1 species
GCGGAGGGAUCAUUACCGAGUUUACAACUCCCAAACCCAAUGUGAACGUUACCAAACUGUUGCCUCGGCGGGAUCUCUGCCCCGGGUGCGUCGCAGCCCCGGACCAAGGCGCCCGCCGGAGGACCAACCAAAAACUCUUUUGUAUACCCCCUCGCGGGUUUUUUAUAUCUGAGCCAUCUCGGCGCCUCUCGUAGGCGUUUCGAAAAUGAAUCAAAACUUUCAACAACGGAUCUCUUGGUUCUGGCAUCGAUGAAGAACGCAGCGAAAUGCGAUAAGUAAUGUGAAUUGCAGAAUUCAGUGAAUCAUCGAAUCUUUGAACGCACAUUGCGCCCGCCAGUAUUCUGGCGGGCAUGCCUGUCCGAGCGUCAUUUCAACCCUCGAACCCCUCCGGGGGGUCGGCGUUGGGGAUCGGCCCUUUACGGGGCCGGCCCCGAAAUACAGUGGCGGUCUCGCCGCAGCCUCUCCUGCGCAGUAGUUUGCACACUCGCAUCGGGAGCGCGGCGCGUCCAUUGCCGUAAAACACCCAACUUUCUGAAAUGUUGACCUCGGAUCAGGUAGGAAUACCCGCUGAACUUAAGCAUAU